rnacentral:rRNA from 1 species
GUUAAGUUAGUGGCGGACGGGUGAGUAACGCGUGGGUAACCUGCCGUAUACCGGGGGAUAACACCUGGAAACAGGUGCUAAUACCGCAUAAGCGCACGGGACCGCAUGGUCCAGUGUGAAAAACCGAGGUGGUAUGCGAUGGACCCGCGUCUGAUUAGCCAGUUGGCAGGGUAACGGCCUACCAAAGCGACGAUCAGGUAGCCGGCCUGAGAGGGUGGACGGCCACAUUGGGACUGAGACACGGCCCAAACUCCUACGGAAGGCAGCAG